GGGCCAGCAUUUGAGGCUCCCUCCUAACUCUUGCUCCUGGUCUCAGUCUGUCUCCUCUCUUUAUAUCUGGCUCUAUUCUCUGUCUUUGGGGUUUUGGAGAGAGGUCCUCAGCGGGGGAGGGAGGGAGUUGGGGAAAGAGACUGCUUGCAGGGGAUCUCUGGUGGGGUCAGUCUCUGAAGUCCUCCUCUCCAGAAGCCCUGCCCAAGAAGAGCCAACAGACUUCCUGAGCCGCCUUCGAAGAUGUCUUCCCUGCUCCCUGGGGCGAGGAGCAGCCCCCUCUGAGUCCCCUCGGCCUUGCUCUCUGCCCAUCCGCCCCUGCUAUGGUUUAGAGCCUGGUAAGAGAUUUCCAUGAUCAUCUAUGAAGCCGGCAGAACACGGGAUAAGGUGCUAGUUUAAGAUCACUCAGCUAGGGGGUGGCUGUGUGGAGUCUCUAGCACCAGCCUUCAGGACAGAACCGUCCUGUCCUCUCCCCUCCCCAGUUAGAUUUCUGUCAAUUCUGUGGGUUGGCUUUCAGAGAGCAUUUGGUCAAUCUGGUUGUUGUCUCUUUCCUUCCAUAACUACUUCCCUGCCCCUAGGACUUUUGUAGCCAG
rnacentral:circRNA from 1 species